rnacentral:rRNA from 1 species
GACGAACGCUAGCGGUGUGCUUAACACAUGCAAGUCGAACGAGACCUAGUGGAGCUUGCUCCACAAAAGUCUAGUGGCGAACGGGUGAGUAACACGUGAGAAACCUGCCCCGAAGACCGGGACAACCCGGGGAAACCCGGACUAAUACCGGAUGCCCUCUUCCCUUCGCAUGUUGGGAUGAGGAAAUGAAUUUCGCUUUGGGAGGGUCUCGCGGCCUAUCAGCUUGUUGGUGAGGUAACGGCUCACCAAGGCAUCGACGGGUAGCUGGUCUGAGAGGACGAUCAGCCACACUGGGACUGAGACACGGCCCAGACUCCUACGGGAGGCAGCAGUGGGGAAUCUUGCGCAAUGGGCGAAAGCCUGACGCAGCAACACCGCGUGGGGGAUGACGGCCUUAGGGUUGUAAACCCCUUUCGACAGGGACGAAAUUGACGGUACCUGUAGAAGAAGGUCCGGCCAACUACG